rnacentral:snRNA from 1 species
AGGUGGGUGAGUGGCAGUAUCAUAGCCCAUGAGGUGAAUCCGAGGCGUGAUUAUUGCUAGUUGAAAUCUUUUACUGGACCAACUUCUGUUGGUGAGAGAGACAAGCUUUCAAGUU